UACAUAAGGUGCAAGCGUUGUCCGGAAUUACUGGGCGUAAAGCGCACGCAGGUGGCUGAGUCAGUCGAUUGUGAAAGCCCUGGGCUUAACCUGGGAAUUGCAGUCGAUACUACUCAGCUAGAGUAUGGGAGAGGGUAGUGGAAUUCCCGGUGUAGCGGUGAAAUGCGUAGAUAUCGGGAGGAACAUCAGUGGCGAAGGCGGCUACCUGGCCCAAUACUGACACUCAGGUGCGACAGCGUGGGGAGCAAACAGG
rnacentral:rRNA from 1 species